AUUGAACGCUGGCGGCAGGCUUAACACAUGCAAGUCGAGCGAGCGGCGGACGGGUGAGUAUUGUAUGGGGACCUGCCUGAUAGAGGGGGAUAACUACUGGAAACGGUAGCUAUUACCGCCUACCAUCGGAUGAACCCACAUGGGAUUAGCUAGUGGGUGGGGGAAAGGCUCACCUAGGCGACGAUCUCUAGCUGGUCUGAGAGGAUGAUAAGCCACACUGGAACUGAGACACGGCCCAGACUCCUACGGGAGGCAGCAGUGGGGAAGAUUGCACAAUGGGCGCAAGCCUGAUGCAGCCAUGCCGCGUGUAUGAAGAAGGCCUUGGGGUUGUAAAGAACUUUCAGUGAGGAGGCGUUACCCGCAGAAGAAGCACCGGCUAACUCCGUGCCAGCAGCCGCGGUAAUUC
rnacentral:rRNA from 1 species